rnacentral:misc_RNA from 1 species
GUAAAAGGCUGCUCAUACCGAUAUACUAAAAGCAAUAUACAGUAUUUCAAUCAUACACAAUAUCACAGGCCAAUACACAACAUAACAUUUCAAUGGUUUAAGAUAAUAUCAAUUUCCACAUUAGUAAUUUGGAGACCAUUUAACUACACCUACUCUCCCCUGUCAUCUUCCUCAGACAUGCCAUCCCCUCCAUGCCGCCAGGAAGUGGUAAGGUUCCGAGCUUUUCUAUCCAGCUGAAGGUUUUCUAAGGCAGAUGAAGCACGACUUACAUCUUCUGCAAGUUCAUCAUUGUCAUAUCUCCAGUUGUAUUCAUCCUUCCUGUAUCCAGAUACCGACGAACCUCCUCUUCUAUAGGAUGACUGGGCUGCAGGACCUGGCCUUCCCAAUGGAGGUAAGCCCCCGGCAACUGAAGAUGAAGAAGGCCUCCUCAUGUUCCUUGUUUCUAAAUUGGGAAGAGAGUCAGCAUCUGGUGUUGUCAAUCUCCUCCCAGCACCCCUUCCUUGAGAUAAGUUCUCAUACUUCAAGAAUCCUUCGAGAACAUCCAAAAGCAAUGGGCCACUAUCCCCAUUCCUGUUAAGAUCGUACCCAUUUUUGCUGCUAAAUUCUUUUAGCUCUGAUUUCCAAGAAUCUUUUUGCAAAUUACACUCUGG